AGGAAGUAAAAGUCGUAACAAGGUCUCCGUUGGUGAACCAGCGGAGGGAUCAUUGCUGGAACGCGCUUCGGCGCACCCAGAAACCCUUUGUGAACUUAUACCUAUUGUUGCCUCGGCGCAGGCCGGCCUCUUCACUGAGGCCCCCUGGAAACAGGGAGCAGCCCGCCGGCGGCCAACCAAACUCUUGUUUCUAUAGUGAAUCUCUGAGUAAAAAACAUAAAUGAAUCAAAACUUUCAACAACGGAUCUCUUGGUUCUGGCAUCGAUGAAGAACGCAGCGAAAUGCGAUAAGUAAUGUGAAUUGCAGAAUUCAGUGAAUCAUCGAAUCUUUGAACGCACAUUGCGCCCUCUGGUAUUCCGGAGGGCAUGCCUGUUCGAGCGUCAUUUCAACCCUCAAGCCUGGCUUGGUGAUGGGGCACUGCCUGUAAAAGGGCAGGCCCUGAAAUCUAGUGGCGAGCUCGCCAGGACCCCGAGCGUAGUAGUUAUAUCUCGCUCUGGAAGGCCUGGCGGUGCCUGCCGUUAAACCCCCAACUUCUGAAAAUUUGACCUCGGAUCAGGUAGGAAUACCCGCUGAACUUAAGCAUAUCAAUAGGAAA
rnacentral:rRNA from 1 species